AUUGAACGCUGGCGGCAGGCCUAACCCAUGCAAGUCGAGCGAGCGGCGGACGGGUGAGUAAUGUAUUGGGAUCUUCCCUAUGGAGGGGUAUAACUACUGGAAACUGUUGCUAAUACCGCAUACUAUCGUAUGAACCCAACUGGGAUUAGCUAGUAGGUGGGGUAAAGUCCCACCUAGGCGACGAUCUCUAGCUGGUCUGAGAGGAUGAUCAGCAACACUGGAACGGAGACACGGCCCAGACUCCUACGGGAGGCAGCAGUGGGGAAUAUUGGACAAUGGGCGCAAGCCUGAUGCAGCCAUGCCGCGUGUAUGAAGAAGGCCUUAGGGUUGUAAAGUACUUUCAGCGGGGAGGCGUUACCAGCAGAAGAAGCACCGGCUAACUCCGUGCCAGCAGCCGCGGUAAUUC
rnacentral:rRNA from 1 species